GACGAACGCUGGCGGCGUGCUUAACACAUGCAAGUCGAACGGAAAGGCCCUGCUUUUGUGGGGUGCUCGAGUGGCGAACGGGUGAGUAACACGUGAGUAACCUGCCUUUGACUUUGGGAUAACUUCAGGAAACUGGGGCUAAUACCGCAUAGGAGCUCCUGCUGCAUGGUGGGGGUUGGAAAGUUUCGGCGGUUGGGGUUGGACUCGCGGCUUAUCAGCUUGUUGGCGGGGUAGUGGCUUACCAAGGCUUUGACGGGUAGCCGGCCUGAGAGGGUGACCGGCCCCAUUGGGACUGAGAUACGGCCCAGACUCCUACGGGAGGCAGCAGUGGAGAAUAUUGCACGAUGGGCGGAAGCCUGAUGGAGCAACGCCGCGUGCGGGAUGACGGCCUUCGGGUUGUAAACCGCUUUCGCCUGUGACGAAGCGUGAGUGACGGUAAUGGGUAAAGAAGCACCGGCUAACUACGUG
rnacentral:rRNA from 1 species